rnacentral:tRNA from 1 species
UGGUGGACAGGCGGUGGGCGAUGACCAAUGUGGUUCGCCCCUGCAUGACAUGAUCCAGGGCGGCCUGGAUGUGCCGUUCCGAUUCGGUGUCCAGCGCC